rnacentral:rRNA from 1 species
AUGCAAGUACUUACGAUAGCAUCGGCUAAUCGUGCAGCAGCGCGGUAUACGGAAGAUGCAAGUGUAUCCGGAUUUAUUGGGUUUAAAGGGUGCGUAGGUGUCUAAUAAGUCAGUGGUGAAAUCUCUUUGCUUAACAAGGAAAUUGCCAUUGAAACUGUUAGACUUGAGAAUGGACGAGGUAGGCGGAAUUCGUAGUGUAGCGGUGAAAUGCAUAGAUAUUACGAAGAACUCCAAUAGUGUAGACUGCUUACCAGACCAUAUCUGACACUAAGGCACGAAAGUGUGGGUAUCAAACAGGAUUAGAUACCCUGGUAGUCCACACAGUAAACGAUGAAUACUAACUGUUUGCGAUAUACAGCAAGUGGUCGAGCGAAAGCGUUAAGUAUUCCACCUGGGAAGUAUGCCGGCAACGGUGAAACUCAAAGGAAUUGACGGGGGCCCGCACAAGCGGAGGAACAUGUGGUUUAAUUCGAUAAUACGCGAGGAACCUUACCCGGGCUCGAACGAUAUUUGAAUACAUCCGAAAAGAUGUAGCUAGCAAUAGCAAAUACCGAGGUGCUGCAUGGUUGUCGUCAGCUCGUGCCGUGAGGUGUCGACUUAAGUGUCAUAACGAGCGCAACCCUUACCGAUAGUUACCAUCAGAUAAUGCUGGGGACUCUAUUGGGACUGCCACCGUAAGGUGUGAGGAAGGAGAGGAUGACGUCAAAUCAGCACGGCCCUUAUGUCCGGGGCGACACACGUGUUACAAUGGGAGAAACAAAGGGUCGCUACCUGGCAACAGGAUGCUAAUCUCGAAAAUCUCUCUCAGUUCGGAUUGGAGUCUGCAACUCGACUCCAUGAAGCUGGAUUCGCUAGUAAUCGCACAUCAGCCAUGGUGCGGUGAAUACGUUCCCGGGCCUUGUACACACCGCCCGUCAAGCCAUGGAAGCUGGAAGUACCUGAAGUAUGUAACUGAAAAGAGCGUCCUAAGGUAAU